CUAUACACUCCCACGUUCACUUGAAAAUGUUACCAGACUUCAAAGAGCCAGAGGAUGAAACAUAUUGGUCAGACUGAUAUAAAAGGAAGCUGCUGGGGUUCUUUCCACUGUCUCUUGAACUCUGCCUGAUGGCUCCACCAUCCAAAAUAUGACCCCAUAUUUCCUCUUCUGGUUGCUAUCCUUCCUCUAUCCAUGUCUACCUCUGAUUCUCCUGGCAGUGACCAGGUUGUAUGAGAUCUCUGCUCCUUUACUCUUCCCCUCAACCUUCUGGCUGCUGCAAUGGUUGUUCCCUAUUUCUGCAUUCUUCUCCCCUUGGAAGAGCACCUCCACUCACCUGCAAAGACCACACUGUCACAGAGAAGGACUGGGAGAAUGUUAGAUGCUGUUGACACCUUUGAUGUCACACUUCAUCACCCGCCUGUACCAACUGAAGAGACCUCACAUCUCCAGCAGAUGCAUACUGCUGGAUUGAUAUUGGUGGGGGUCUCCACCUCAUGAGGAUGUUGGCACUUCACUACAGGCCCAUAUUGCUGGGAAGAAAAGGAAAGACAGAGGGAGGAAGUGUCUGCCCAUAAUCAAGUGGUCAGUAUCUUUAAUGAUGUGGCACUUCACCACAGGCUGAAAUUGCUAGGGUGAAGGAAGAUAUUGGACUUAGUGGUGUGGGCCCUGCUCCAUUGAGAGGAUUGAUAUCUUCAGCUGUUACACUCUGACGUUCUAUAUCUUGAUGGAGCGUCCUGUAACCCCCAUAUUCCUCAUUUUGAUAUAACCGUGAUCUUACAUAUAAAGCAUGCCUUAUAAGGUAUCUGGGAAAGGUUAUCUGCUGAAAGUCAUUUCUCUAUCCAUAUAUGUAUAUUAUUAAUGUAUAUGAAGUUAUGAGAAUUGUGUUGUAUGGUUGUCACUAAAACAUGCUGUCAAUUGGGGAAUCAGUCAGAUAAUAGCUCCCCAGGGGCAACAGCAAGGCAAGUAACCAAACGUUACAUCAACCACCAUUGUCCAGCAAAGGAGCUAUAAUUCAAUGAUUCACCUGCAUGAGGCCAUACCAGGGGAAUUGCUCAAUCCUGGCUGGAGACAGCAAUGCCCCCAGACAUGCCUGGAUUUGUGAUCCACAAGCACAUGGGACUGAGGGAAUAAAACAGAACACAGUGGCCCCAUGCUGGGCCUUUCUCCUUCACCCACCUACAUUGCAAGCAACAAGGACACUCUGAAGACUCCAACUGAGGGGACUGACCCAGAUUUCAAGUGUGAAAUCUGUGUACUAUGAACUCCAAAUCCAGUGCAGUGAAAAAAACUGCUUAAAUCUAGAUUGGGGUCUCAAAUAUGCAGCCCACCAGGUUAUUUUCUGUGGCCCAUGAGCUCCUCGUGGCCCCUCCGCCCUCCCCCCAGCAUUUACCUAGAGCUGCUCCAACCCGGCGGCCAGCAGCUCCCACUGGCUGCAGUUCCCCAUUCCCUGUCAAUGGGAGAUGCUAGGGGCAGUGCCUGAAGCAACAGCAACACACACACCCCUGCUCCUCUUCUCCCCCACAUUCCAACCACUUCCCGGAGCAGCACAGGGGCAGGGCAGGCAGGGAGACUGCCCUGACCCCAGUUUGCACCGGGUCAGAGCCCGCCCCCUCAAGCUCCUCCUGCAGUCGAACCCCCUGCCCUGAGCCCCCUGCCGCACCCUACACCCGACCCCCUCCCACACUCCAAAGCAUUUCCCUGAGCCUCCUGCCACACCCCUCCUGCAGUUGAAACCCCUGCCCCGACCUCCUGCCGCACCCCAACGCACCUCCCUGAGCCCCUUGCCGCACCCUGACUCCCUGCCCUGAGCCCCCACCACACCUCCUGGGGGCAGGGAGAGGAUUUUGGGGAAGGAGUUGGAAUAGGGGCAGGGAAGGGGUGAAACAGGGACAGGGCCUCAUGAAAGGGGUGGAGUGAGGGCGGGGCCAAGGGCAGUGGGGGGGGGGGUGGUCAGUAAUGCAGCCCUCGAGCCAAUGUACUAUUCCUCAGGUGGCCCUUGUGGUCAUUUGAGUUUGAGACCCCUGAUCUAGAUGUUACCCAGUCUAACAGGGUUGAGAUUUUAGAUUGCGUGCUUAUAUUUUAUGUACUUUUGGUAAUUAACUCUGACUUUGUGCGUAACACUCAGUCACUUAAAAUCUUUUGUUGUCAAUAAAUUUGUUUUACUGUU